rnacentral:ncRNA from 1 species
GUAUGAAAAAGGCAAACCCUGCGAAAGCAGGGGACGCAAAGUCACUGAUCUAACGGGCCAAUGCCCCAGGAUAGCAGGACUGCCAGA